rnacentral:rRNA from 1 species
GAUGAACGCUAGCGGCAGGCUUAACACAUGCAAGUCGAGGGGUAUGGCAGCAAUGCCUGAGACCGGCGCACGGGUGCGUAACGCGUAUGCAAUCUGCCUUUUACAGAGGGAUAGCCCAGAGAAAUUUGGAUUAAUACCUCAUAGUAUAAUUGAGUGGCAUCAUUUGAUUAUUAAAGAUUUAUCGGUAAAAGAUGAGCAUGCGUCCCAUUAGCUAGUUGGUAAGGUAACGGCUUACCAAGGCGACGAUGGGUAGGGGUCCUGAG